GCGGACGUGGCCCAGUUGGCAGACCACCACCCUGCCAAGGUGACGGCCGCGAGUUCGAAUCUCGUCGUCCGCUCCG
rnacentral:tRNA from 1 species